AUGUGUUUUUUGUUUGACUGUGACGCCUUCGAAAUGUUUUGAUCCUGUAAAAUUUCAAAAUUAUUCAAAUGACAAGAAGCUGUUGUCACAUCGCUAUUUUUUUCUAUAGUCAUUCCUCGUGAUGUCAUAUAAUAUUUUCAUUAAAUUUAAUAAGAUCUUCAGCGAAUCAUACUAGGGAAUUGAAAUCCAUUCAAGAUUUUUUCCAAAUCAUCCGACGGCAAAUAAAUCUCGAUGGAUACUUUCCAAAUUAUAUUUUAUCUUAAUUUUCUUGGAGCGAUUCGACUUGUGUGCUUAACUUUUCCGAGCACCUAAAAAUGAUGAAUGCAGCUUAGAGCAAGAAUUUUCGAACUCAGCUUCUCACUUGGUGUCACCGAUGAGAAGUCGCGGUCAAACAAGACUUCAGUCUGAUUAAGAUUGAAAAUAUUCGGGGAAUCUUUUAAAUUUUAAUCAAAUUGCAUCUUGAGUUGAUCCCGAUUUCUUAACGGUGGCCUCAAGUGAGGUGCAUAGUUCAAAGAUUCUUUCUCGCAAAG